GUUAAAAAUAUCCUUUCUGUUUAAAUUAUUUUUAAAUAAAAAAAUAAAAAAAAUUGACCUUACUUUUGUAGAAUGGAAAGCAUCUGGCGUUUUGUUUUGACAAGUUAACGGCGCGACGUUUAAUUCAUAUUUUGAAAGUUUGAAUUAAAAUUUUAAUAAAUUUUAAUAUCAUCAAGACACUUUUUAAGCAGUUUUGACUAUGGAAGAAAAGAAAAAAAGGGGAUGUAAUUACACGACAUUUGAAAAAGAGAUUCUUUUAAACCUCGUAAACAAAUAUAAGGAUGUUCUAGAAAAUAAGGAGACGAAUGCGUCUAUUAUUUCAAAGAAAAGAAAUAGUUGGGACUCUGUGUGCCAGCAGUAUAACUCCGUAGCUGUGAGUGGCACCAGGACUUGGCAACAACUCCGACACUUAUAUGAAAAUAUUAAGCAACGGUCGAAGAAGAAUUUUGCUGAAAUCAAUCGGCUUCAAUUUUAUGAAAAAACUAAGGAAA